UCCCAGAUGGCUCAGUGAUAGAGAAGCUGCCUGCAAUGCAGGAGACCUGGGUUCGAUCCCUGGAUUGGGAA
rfam:TPA: Bos taurus chromosome X, whole genome shotgun sequence.